ncrna:unclassified sequences dfrA-dnaX RNA
AUGACUUGUGAUAAAACUAUAUUAAUUUCACCAUAAUUACCAUAAAAAAUAAUCAAAAAGAAAUUAUGGUAUAAU